CUCAAAAUCUAAAGAUUCAGUGUACUGUUUUCUUUGUAAAUUAUUUAAAGUUUCUGAUAAUAGUUUUAAUGAGGGGAAUGGCUAUAGUGACUGGCGACAUUUAUCUCGGACUUUAGAAAGACACGAAACCAGUAAGGGGCAUUUUGAAAGUGUUAGGAAAUGGCUUGAAUUAAAAAAAAUCAAUAGAAAAAGGUUUAACUCUGGACUCUGUCAAUCAAAAUUUAUUUCAAAUGGAAAAAAAAAGAUGGACUUGGAUUUUAGAGAGAAUAAUAUCUGUUAUCCAGUUUUUAGCUGGACAAAAUUUAGCUUUUAGGGGUAAUAGUCAAAAACUAUUUGAUAAGGGUAACGGUAAUUUUCUGAAAUUAAUUGAGACGAUUGCAAAAUUUGAUUCUGUAAUGGCCGAACAUAUUGAUAGAGUCUAAAAAGAUGGGAACAAAAUGCCGCAUUAUUUGGGAGAUAAAAUACAAAAUGAAUUGAUUUUUUUAAUAGGAGAAAAAGUAAAAAAGUGUAUUGUUGAAUGUUUAAAAUUAUGCAAAUAUUUCUCAAUCAUUCUUGACUGUACACCUGACGUUAGUCACCAAGAACAAAUUACCAUUAUUGUUAGAUUCGUUUUUAUUGAUGAUUGUUCUAAAAGUAUAGAAAUUCGAGCAUUUUUUAGGAUUUUGUAAGUUACAAAAACUACUGGUCAGGGGUUAACAGAUUUUUUAUUAAAUUAGUUAAAAGAACUGGAUAUUGAUAUUUAGUGUUUCUGUGGUUUAUACGUAAAAAUAAGACUAUUCAGUUGGAUAAAUUGUGGAAAGAACGUCCCUUUUAAGUGAUUUUUUGUUGUUUUUGCCCAGGCCUAGGACUGCAUCAGAAUGGGUAUGUGCUUUGUUCCGGGCUGUAAACAUUACAGUUCAAAGCAUCCAUGUAAGUUUUUUCGGUUCCCAAAAAACAAGACCGAGAAGAAUAGAUGGAUUUCUCUUAUAAGAAGAAAAGAUAGGGAUCCAAGUGAAUUUGCAAAAGUGUGUGAUUGUCACUUUGUAAAUAAAGAUAAGAAGAAUGGGCCAACUUUAUUUGACUUUAUUCAAUCUUCACAAGAAGUUUAAUGUACAAUCACUAGAAAAGAGGAAGAGGACCGUAAAAAAGGUUAAUAAUUGUGGGGAUAAGCUUUUGACCGAGGCACUACCUGGUCCUUCAACUGAGCUACUGCCAGGACCUUUAUGUGAGCCACUGCCGGGAACCUCAACAGAGCUACCGCCAGGCUCUUCAAAACAAGUUUGUAAAGAGUCUCAAAUAAAACUUGAUGCAUCACUCCUGAGUCCAUCAUCUGCAUCUCAAGAUGCUGAAAAUUACUUUUUAAGGCAAGAGGUGGCUGAAUUAACCGAGAAGUUGGCAAAUAUAUCAACACGGUUCAGCUGUGAAAUUGUCAAAAAAAAUAAUGCUCAUUUGCUUAUGUAUACUGGUAUUCCAACCAAUGAGCUGUUCAUGGUUCUUUUGAACUAAUGGACAGCGUUAACUUAAAAUAUUAUGCUGGAUGGAAUGUUCGGAUUAUUCCUAAAAUUGAUCAGCUGCUUAUGACCUUAAUGAAGCUAAGGCUUAACCUUCCACAUGAAGAUUUGAGUAUAAGAUUUAGUUGCAGUACAGCUACAGUAACGAAUAUUAUAAUGACGUGGAUCUAUGCUCUACAUGAAGUCCUUUUCAAGAAUUUAAUGAAAACUAUACCAUCGAGACAACGGAAUCAGGCCUGCCUUCCUAUUGCUUUUACAAAUUUUAGGAAUUGUAGGAUAAUUUUGGAUUGCACUGGAAUUUACUCAGCAGUUCCAGCAAGCAUGGAAAAUCAGAGAUUGACCUACAGUUCAUACAAACACCGAAACACAUGGAAAAUAUUGGUAGGAGUUGCACCAAAUGGUGUAAUCACCUUUGCCAGCAAGGCUUUUCCAGGCUCUACAUCUGAUAAAAAAAUUGUUGAGGAGAGUAGAGUUUUGGAUCAGAUGGUGGCUGGAGAUUUGAUAUUGGCAGAUAAGGGUUUCUUGAUUAAAGACCUUCUUCCUGCACGAGUAUCAUUAAAUAUCCCCCCAUUUCUAACUACAGCACAGUUGACAGAAUCUCAGGUAUAUGAAACGCAGCAGAUUGCAAAGGCUAGGAUUCAUGUGGAACGGGCCAUUAGGAGGAUAAAGUGUUAUAAUAUUCUCCAGCAAGUUCCGUCAUAUUAUAUAUCUCAAAUUUCAAUUAUUUUUCAACUGUGUGCGGCUCUCACAAACUUCCAAUAUCCUCCAAUUAGAGAAAGUAUUUGUUGAGGCCUAUAUGAUUAUCGAAAACAUUAUGCAGCUCUUGGCAACCGCGUAUAACUGGGCAGCUUAUAU
rnacentral:lncRNA from 1 species